AAAAUAUUUAUUAUACUAUUUUAGUGCUCUUACCAAAGAAAAUUCGACAUAAAAAAAAAACAAAAUAAAAUUCAUAUUAGAAAUUUCAGAAAAAUAAAAAGGUAAAAGACUUGAGAGCCACAACGACGCCGUAUGGUGUUACCGAUAUCUGCCCGCUUCAGUCUAAGAUCCAUCCUAAGGGUACAAAAGUGGAUUAGUCACUGAAGAGCUCAGUCUUCGUUCCCAAACGCGACAUCGCAGUGGAAAAAUGCCGUCCCCGAAACCCUUGGCCACAGCGGCAGGCAUGUUGCGGGCGCGAUUGAGCCCAGCCCUUCGAACAAGAGGAGGAGACGCCCACGGGCCGAGUCGAUGGGCUACACCGGGCCACCAAGAGAGACCCAACGGCUACUUAUUCAACCGGACGCCGCCGCCGCCGGGACAGUCUCGUAAAUGGGAAGACUGGGAGCUGCCGUGUUACAUCACCAGUUUCCUCACUAUCGUCAUACUCGGCGUCGGGCUUAACGCUAAGCCCGAUCUCACUCUCGAGACUUGGGCACACCAGAAAGCCCUAGAACGCCUCGAGCUUGAAUCCGCUGCUUCGCAGGAGUCUGAUUAAUCUGGAGGAUGAUGAUGAAGAAAUAGUCAUUUUGGGGUUUGGUUCUUCUGUUGAUAUGUUUUCAUGGUGUAGUUGAAAAUAAGGGUUUUUGGUUGACUUCUGGAGCUGGGACUCUGGGAGAUAUGAAAUCUUUUGAGAUUUUAAAUUUACUUUACUGCGUUUUUAUUUACUGGAAUUUUGACUAUGUUAGCCUUAUGAUCUUGCAAUCAGAAUAUGUUAAUUUUACAUAAAAGCUUAUGUUUUUUGUAAUUUAAUCAUAAGUUUUUGGUUAUUGGAAUUUAAUCUUAGUUAUGGUGGUUGAUUCACUGAAAUGUUAAUUUUGGAGUAGCAGUUAUUGUGUAUCCAUAGUUUCAAAUAUUUAUGUGAAUUGUAUUUCAGUGGCGGUGUUUUGUAGUAAAUGCCUUGGAACCUGGUAGAAUUAGCAUGAAAUACCGUGCAAAUUUCUGGCUGAUGUGGUAUUGGACCUUAGGUGGUUCUGUGGAUAAUUAGGCUUUCCGGUUGCUGCUCUUUUUGGAACCUUGGUUAUAUUUACUCAUCCAUUCAUAAGGAUGUCUUCAUACCAUAAUGGUUAAGGAACUUCCAGACCCCAACUGGAUAUGUAUUUCUUGCGUCUUGAUGCAGUUUACUCGAACUUCUGUGGUUCAUGUAGGAUUUACGGGUGAUUGAACCCGUAUGUUGGUAACCUUAACUAUAGUUGAUUAGAAGGUAAGUUUAGAUGUUUGUUAUCUGUAGUUUAGUUGAUGGUCCACUCCUUAUGUGGUUUUGCAUAUAGCAUAACAAUUUCACCAACAUUCACAAGCACUGUAAAGUGGUCUUUUCAAGAUAAUUGGAAUGCUUAUACUUUAAGCUCAUCUGUUGGAAUCCCUGCUGUUUGCUCUUUGAAGAAGAAAUGUAAGCGGCUGUCUCCUUUGCUCCCAUGCAUUUUGUUGAGCACUCUGGAGGAGGUGUCCAUACACUUUUUUUGGUUAUCUGUUCAGAUGUUUGUUUUUCUUCUUUUGGGGAUAAAGAAGGAAGUGAGGAGGAGGGGCUUCUGAUUUUCACUCAAUAAAAAUGUGUCUGCUUCCUGCAUAUAUGAAGCAGUAUAUAGUUCUCUAUGUUUCAAGAUAUUGUUUCAUAAACAGAGGCUACUUGGGUUGCUAGAAUAUUGUUAAAUGUUGUUGAACCACGGACACAAACAUUUUGUGAUUCACUACAUUUAGUUGGUCUAUUUUGGGAAUGGGUUUAACUUGACAUUUAGGUCUAAAGUACUUCUGUCUGUUUGAUGUGUGGCUCACUGCGAUUAAUCAGUCUAAUGAAGUAAUCUGUUUUGGAGGUGCCUAUGAAAUUGAUUUGCAAGAAAACAAUGCCACCUUAAACAGAGAUCUUAAUGAGCUCCAGAAACUUUUGACCAGCUAGCCAACUAUUACUUGUGGUAGACUUGGGCCUUGUUUCUUGUAAGGGUUGAAUCAAGUAUUUCAAACAGUGAUGGAGGUGCUACCCAUGUUUGAUUAUUGUUAUUGGAGAGUUCUGUUUGUGGUGUAUGAUGUAAAUAAACAAGAAUACUUAGAUGUGACCUGUACUCUGAGCAUGUGGCAGAAGAAAACUAGCGCAUUAUGGCCUUUUGAUCCUUUUCUUUUUAGUUUUUGCAAGCUUGCUAGUUUUUGGAGUUGAGAGGCAUGAUAGAUUUCUUCAUCAGCAAGGCAAAUAGAAAGUACCUUGACCAAUCAGAACGUGUUUUAACAUAUCAGUUGGCUUAUAUGCAAACAAUGAACUUGACAUCAUAGCUUCUGAAGCUGGUGUUACCUUCAGUAGGUUCAACUAAAAUUUCUCUAUGAAGGUGAUGAUCCUUGAAUCUGUGAAUUCUGGGCAAUCCUUUUUUUGUUUUUAUUUUAAUCUCCCUUAUUCUAGGAUGCUUUAAGAGAUUGAAGUUUCUCCUGUUACAUGAAAUUGACGGCAUGCUCAGUAGUUCAUUCGUGAAGCCUUCAUUGAGUACCUUUGAAGCAUAAAUUGGGAUUUGUUGUGGUUUGAUACCAAAGUCCACCUGGUUGCUUGUCAAACUUGCUGAACGAGAAUAUGCAAGUACUUUCAGUUGGUAUCCUCAGUGGAUGGAAGUAGGUCAUUUGGCAAAACAUGCUGCGGGAGUAGGAACAUGGAAAUGAUGAUCAGAUGCUUAGGAGAUCGUCUGAGGACAGUACAUUCCACCUGCAGCUUCCAAGAAUGUGUGGUUUUUCUGGGUUUUUUUUUUUUUUUUUUGGGUCCUUUCCGACAGUUUAAUCAAUAGUCUGCCAGUAAUUCAUAUGACAAAUAUUCAGAUGCUACCAUUGAGUGAGUGACUAACGCCAUUAGAUGCUUGUGUUCCUGUUGGCCACGCACACUUCCUUUUUUGUCAUUUUAUGUAAUGCCAGAGAUGCCUUUCUUCCACCAACAUUUCAAACACCCCACUUUCUUCUAUUGCUGCUCCCUUUCAUUUGCCAGAGGCCGAUGGGAUGUUUUUGGUGAGUUUUUGAGCGCGCUGAAAGUGAAAGGGGGAAGAGUAGUUUCCAACAACGACAGAGAGCCCAACGGAGGCCUGCCAAAGCUAUUAAUUGGCAGGCAGUGCGCAGGAGUCAGGACCCAUUGGACACAAGUAAGUUUUUUCUGCUUGUGGCGGAAAAUGAGUGUUAGACAUUGGAAUUAUAUGUACGUCGACUUCAUUACAUGAGCCCAAAGGCUCACUCAAAGCCAGAUUUCGCAAACCAAUUAAAAAUGAUGAUCAAAUGAGCCCAACUACAUCGAAGAGAGAAAGGUUCCGAUUAAGGAACAAGACCUGUUCUUCCCUCUGUUGCCGAGUUCCUUGACAAUUUAAAGAAUCGUUUUUGACUUUGAAUCCCUAUCUUUCCUCUUUAACAUUUUGUAAAUCACUUCCAUUUCAGUAGCUGAAAGACAGGUGAGAAAUAGUACGAGUGUGUUUGGAUAGAAAAUUAUUUAAAAUAUUACUUGAACUAAUUAUGGUAACAAUUUUCUGUGAUGUGAUGUGAUGCAUAUGAAAUAAAAAUAUUUUUUGUAAAGAUAUUCGAAAUAUGAUCUAAAAUGAAAUAAUUUACUAUAACACUUUUCAUAAUGUGGCGUAUAGAAGAUUUUGGAAAAAAAAAGAAAAGAAAAGAGCUGUUUUAAAGAUUAAAAAAAAAUCGAUUAAGAAUUGUAAUUGUGAUGCAAGUAAAAUAAUAUUUGAAAGAAAUAAUCAGUUAAGCCACUAACCAUUCACUAGCUUAAGGCCCAAAACAAGCCCAAAGCCAGGUUUGAUCCGUGCUGUUUCACGGACUGACAUUUGACAGAUAAUCGCGGCACUUGUAUUAUUUAAUAAGAAAAGAAAACAAAAAUGAAUUUGGACCUAAUUGAUUCGAGUCCAUAGCAUGGAGUAGGUGCACGGGGAGGCCGUGAGAUAGGACUGGGAUUAACGUUCGUCCCAUGACUUUUGAUCACGGGGACUCAGAUCUAAAGCUGCAUCAUCAUGCAUUGGAAGCUUUGCCAGCGAAUUUGCAAUCAUAUCUUAUCAUGGUCAACCUUAAAAAAAAA
rnacentral:lncRNA from 1 species